AGUGGGAUAGCUGGGUCAAAUGGUGGAUUCAUUCCAAGUUUUCCAAGAAAUCUCCAUACUAUUUUCCAGAUUGGCUGUACCAAUUUACAUUUCCACUGGCAAU
rnacentral:pre_miRNA from 1 species